CCCAACCUCCCACCCGUGACUACUGUACCACUGUUGCUUCGGCGGGCCCGCCAGCCUGCUGGCCGCCGGGGGGCUUCUGCCCCCGGGCCCGCGCCCGCCGGAGACCCCAACACGAACACUGUUUCUGAAAGCCUGUAUGAAUCCGAUUCUUUGUAAUCAGUUA
rnacentral:misc_RNA from 1 species